AGCCGUGUGGUGAGCACAAACCGAGCUAUUCUUCGCCUUUUACUAAAGAAUACCGUGUGCCAUCCACAGAUAGCGGCAUACGCCGUUUUUUGAAGGGUUCUCUUUCCUUGAGAGAGA
rfam:Populus trichocarpa scaffold_2_contig_6, whole genome shotgun sequence.